GAUUAGCGCUAGCGGCAGGCCUAAUACAUGCAAGUUGAACGGGAUUGAUUGUAGCAAUACGGUCAUGAGAGUGGCGCACGGGUGCGUAACACGUAUGCAACCUACCUAUAACUGGGGAAUAGCCUCCCGAAAGGGAGAUUAAUACCGCAUAAUAUUAUUGAAUGGCAUCAUUUGAUAAUUAAACCUCAGGGGGUUAUAGAUGGGCAUGCGUCCGAUUAGCUAGUUGGUGAGGUAAUGGCUCACCAAGGCUACGAUCGGUAGGGGGUCUGAGAGGAUGAUCCCCCACACGGGUACUGAGACACGGACCAGGCUCCUACGGGAGGCAGCAGUAAGGAAUAUUGGACAAUGGGCGAAAGCCUGAUCCAGCCAUGCCGCGUGAAGGAUGAAGGCCCUAUGGGUCGUAAACUUCUUUUAAACGGGACGAAACCCCUCGACGUGUCGAGGGCUGACGGUACCGUAAGAAUAAGGGUCGGCUAACUUCGUGCCAGCAGCCGCAGUAA
rnacentral:rRNA from 1 species